AUUGAACGCUGGCGGAAUGCUUUACACAUGCAAGUCGAACGGCAGCACGGGGGCAACCCUGGUGGCGAGUGGCGAACGGGUGAGUAAUACAUCGGAACGUGCCCGGUCGUGGGGGAUAACGUAGCGAAAGUUACGCUAAUACCGCAUACGAUCUGAGGAUGAAAGCGGGGGACCUUCGGGCCUCGCGCGAUCGGAGCGGCCGAUGUCAGAUUAGGUAGUUGGUGGGGUAAAGGCCUACCAAGCCGACGAUCUGUAGCUGGUCUGAGAGGACGACCAGCCACACUGGGACUGAGACACGGCCCAGACUCCUACGGGAGGCAGCAGUGGGGAAUUUUGGACAAUGGGCGCAAGCCUGAUCCAGCCAUUCCGCGGGCAGGACGAAGGCCUUCGGGUUGUAAACUGCUUUUGUAUGGAACGAAAAGGCUCUGGCUAAUACCUGGGGCUCAUGACGGUACCGUAAGAAUAAGCACCGGCUAACUACGG
rnacentral:rRNA from 1 species